CCUACGGGAGGCAGCAGUGAGGAAUAUUGGUCAAUGGGCGGAAGCCUGAACCAGCCAAGUCGCGUGAGGGAAUAAGGCCCUACGGGUCGUAAACCUCUUUUGCCGGGGAGCAAAGGCCGGGACGCGUCCCGGCCCGGAGAGUACCCGGAGAAAAAGCAUCGGCUAACUCCGUGCCAGCAGCCGCGGUAAUACGGAGGAUGCGAGCGUUAUCCGGAUUUAUUGGGUUUAAAGGGUGCGUAGGCGGGCGUUUAAGUCAGCGGUAAAAAUUCGGGGCUAAACCCCGGCCGGCCGUUGAAACUGGGUGCCUAGAGUGGGCGAGAAGAAGGCGGAAUGCGUGGUGUAGCGGUGAAAUGCAUAGAUAUCACGCAGAACCCCGAUUGCGAAGGCAGCCUGCCGGCGCCCUACUGACGCUGAGGCACGAAAGUGCGGGUAUCGAACAGGAUUAGAUACCCGUGUAGUC
rnacentral:rRNA from 1 species